GGGGGACGGGACGGUGGCUCAGUUGGUAAAGUGCCUGCCUUACAAGCAGGAGGACCUGGGUUUGAUCCCCAGACUCCACCA